rnacentral:rRNA from 1 species
AACGAACGCUGGCGGCAGGCUUAACACAUGCAAGUCGAGCGCCCCGCAAGGGGAGCGGCAGACGGGUGAGUAACGCGUGGGGAUCUACCCAUCUCUACGGAAUAACGCAUGGAAACGCGUGCUAAUACCGUAUACGUCCUUCGGGCGAAAGAUUCAUCGGAGAUGGAUGAGCCCGCGUUGGAGUGGCUAGUUGGUGGGGUAAAGGCCUACCAAGGCGACGAUCCAUAGCUGGUCUGAGCGGAUGAGCAGCCACACUGGGACUGAGACACGGCCCAGACUCCUACGGGAGGCAGCAGUGGGGAAUAUUGGACAAUGGGCGCAAGCCUGAUCCAGCCAUGCCGCGUGAGUGAUGAAGGCCCUAGGGUUGUAAAGCUCUUUCACCGGUGAAGAUAAUGACGGUAACCGGAGAAGAAGCCCCGGCUAACUUCGUGCCAGCAGCCGCCGUAACAC